rnacentral:rRNA from 1 species
UACGUAGGGGGCUAGCGUUGUUCGGAUUUAUUGGGCGUAAAGCGCGUGUAGGCGGUUUCUUAAGUCUGAUGUGAAAGCCCUGGGCUCAACCCAGGAAGUGCAUUGGAUACUGGGAAACUUGAAUACGGGAGAGGGUAGUGGAAUUCCUAGUGUAGGAGUGAAAUCCGUAGAUAUUAGGAGGAACACCGGUGGCGAAGGCGGCUACCUGGACCGACACUGACGCUGAGGCGCGAAAGCUAGGGGAGCAAACGGG